rnacentral:lncRNA from 1 species
CCCCCUCCUUGCACCUAGCAGGGAGAGGAGUGUGCGGAAAGAUGGAGUUGAGACAGAAACUUGUUAGCAUAACACCGAAGGAGUUUUGCUGUGAGUAGCAUCAGCAUAGCAGGAGAACAUCCCUAGCUCUCCUGCCGCUGCUCUGCCACAAGGAGAGAAAGGGAAAAGCAAAUUCAGCAGGACCUCUAGGACUUUGCUGUAGAUCUCCAGGUGGAGCCAGGACCCUCCAGGAGAACUGAUGGCUAGAAAAGACUGCAAGUAAUGUGGAGGAAGGAAGAAGAGAGAGAGCAGAGAGAGAUGAUUCUUGCAAACAUUGAUCUGUGUAGAGCGGAUGUCAACUUGAUGGGAUAAGACCUGGGUUGACUUGGUAUCUGGGUUCAGGUCAGCAAACUCUAACGGCAUUUCCUUCUACUAGCAGACAGAUCUGCUCAUCCUGCGACAUUGUGGACAGUGCUGAAUGGCUUCCAGAACAUUCCUCUUAUGUCUACUGGUUAAACUUUGAAGCAUCUGAACCAUUUGGGAGAGCAGGGACCCCCAUGAACAGGAGAUACUGGAGGUGUCUGAGGCCACUUCAUGCCCUUUCUCAAGAGUGGCCUGCAGGUCUUUCAGCCACUGGCCACUGAAGUCCAGCUCCUGCCAGCCAUGGAUUUGGGCACUGGGCUCCAGUGUUGAGAAAGUUCUUGACUUCCAGCGCUUGUUUUCCUAGUGGACAAUAGGAGUCAGAGACAGAGAGGGAGAGUGAAGAUGCAGAAGACAUAUCCUUUCCAUUGUGACCCAGAUAAGAAUGUAGCCGGUGAGCUUGCUUCCUGUCACUCAUUUCCCAGCUAUUUGUUGUAGUCCAAGUUGUGCAUAUUCUUUCUGUUAGGUUCUUAUGUUUGUCUUAAGCUCACCCAUCUUUUCUUCUUCCCUCAUUUUUUCUUUAUAAAUCAAGAAAAAUUCUGCCACUUUCUUUCCCUGGCUCACUGCACAGCCAAUCAAUAAUUUUGAAUCCUUUGUGUAUCAAUUUCUACUGGCUAUUCAUUAUUUGUGGAAACCAUAUUAACGGGUCCAUAAAAAUCACAGCAAUCCAUUUGUUAAAUUCAUCAUAAGAACAGAUUACAUCUUUCUGGCCAAGUUUCAUGGUUUGGUAAUAUCAUAUUUUGGUUUUAGAAUUUAUAAGGUGCAUUCUCCCAUACUUUUCAAGUAUAUUUUUUAUUCAUUGCCCUCUCUGAAUUAGGCAUUUUUGGGGAUGCACGUUUUACAGAUAUGGAGACAAUGGUUCAGAGAAAUCAGCUUGUUCACAGUGGGGCCAGAGCUGGGACCUAGGGCUUCUGACUCUAUGUCUCAGGUCAUUCCUAUCACACACACACUGAAGGAGAAAAGAGUUCCCUUGUCUGGAGAAGACAUAUCAAAUUCAUGCGGGUUAAACACAGAAAUUCCAAAUAGCUGUAGUUUUUGUAAAAAUGGUUGAGCUAUGGACUUUUAAAGUAGUUGGCCACCUGUGGUGGUGGGUGGAAGGGAGUUAGGGCAGGAUUGUUGUGCUUCAGGGAGGAUUCAGUGUCUGCACGACCACGGAGGGGGGUGCAGGGCACCAGGUAUCCAGGACUGUUGUCAAGAGUUAUGCUUUGAAUUUCCCAGAGAAGACACACUGCUGCGAAAGGAAGAAAUCGUUGGUUUUUCUCCAACUGCUUAGCUGUUAAGAAGCAAGAAGCCUAUCUCCAAGGCAGCAGCAGGCCUCAGAGAAAACAGUAGGACCCUUCCUUCAAACAAAGGAGAAAACUCCCACAACUCAAAGCAAGUGCCCCCUGGUCAUUCUCUCAAAAAGCUACAGGCUCCAAAAAAAGACAGACUUCACAGGCUAGAGACGGGCUCUGCACUCAGGGUUGGUGGUCGGGGGCACAGAGCUGGCUGGGCAGGGCCAGAGGGGACCACAUUCUGCCACAUGCAGAGCAAAGCAGUAUCUUUCUAUUACUGGUCAAUGUAAUAUGAGCUGGGAAUGAGCAAUUUCAUACCUUUUUCUGAGAUAUUAAAAAGAAAUACGCUGAUGUGGCUGGAGGUAAUUUCCCAAAGCCUGUGGAUGGAGUUGAUGUCAGUAACUGGCUAUGAGGUUGUUAUUUACAGGACUGUUUGAUCCCACUGAAGUAGUGGUGCUUAAUAUGUAGCUCAAUGUGGCUCAGGAGCGAGGCCCAAUACUGCAUAUAAACCACCAUCCUGCAAUUUAUCCAGAGAGCAUGUGGGAGGUGAACCUUGAAUCAUUUGCUUGAUGGAUUUUUUUCUUUCCUUGGAAACAGAAAAACGAAUCUCAGUUUUCUCCCUAAGCCUUAGGCAACAGGGCUCCUUGCAAGUCACCUUCCCUUCCUUGUCCCCAAAACAAAGAUGCAUACAUGUUCCCCGAGCACUGCAAACACAGCCUUUCUUUCAGGGGCAGCUGGGUCCCUGGAUCCGCUUUCCCUCCCCUGGGCUGGUCCCAGUGUAAAUCAUCAGAUCUCCAGGUCCACUCGUCUGCACACAGGCUGCUUUGUAAGUGGGAGAAAGAAUCCACAGAACUUUACACUAAAUCCCCAUGGGAACCAGGUGAAUAGGUGUGUGUGUUUGCACACAAGCCCGUAUACAUGGCAAACCAAUCCAAGAGAUGGUGACCGAUGGGUCCAUAAAGACUCUGGCUGGCAAUGCUGUCAGCUUCCUUCAGCUGAGCGUCAGUUAGUUACCCUGGUAGUCUCAAAUGUCUCCUUGUGUCUGGAGACAACAUAGGGCCUGGCCCUGAGGACUGCCAGGCUGGGUCGCCCGGCAGCUGCACCUGUUGUAGGCUGGGUAGGCCCCCUAAAAUGCUUUGGGCAGCCCAAGAGUGUCUUCCUGAGUCAUGUGGAGCUGCCUCACCAGCAGCCCAGUGAGAGAUUCACAGCCCUAGUGGAGAGUGGAAGCCCUGGGCUAUCCCAAGCAAUCCUUGCGUCUGUGGGGCUGGUGCCGCCCCUUUGCGUCUCUUCUUGCAGCUAAGCAGAGCUCAGAGGCCAGGAAAAAAGCCACUGGGUGUCUUUGGAAACAGCUGACCUGAUUUUCAACAUUCCCUUUGAGCAUUUGCUAAAGGGGCACCACAGAAGGGCAUUAAGGAUGCCACCGUGGAAGGAAGCUGCAGAUGACAGAAGCGUGAGCACUGCUGGAAAAUGAGAAAGCUGAGUUGGGACUGCGUGCCAUGGAGAACCUGUACUGUCACCCUCCCCAGCCAUCUGACUACCAGCAGCUUCAGCAGCAUCAUCAUUUGCAUUCAUUCAUCUCUUUUCCUCACUCCCUCCCUCGAUGAAUCUCUUUGGGAAUGAUCUUCAAAAACUUUGCUUAGGUUUCAAGGUGCUUUUGAUUCACUGUAUUUUUCUUUAAAUAAGCCUUUUAAUUGAGCACAACGUUCAUAGAGAGAAGCGCACACAUCCUGAGGGGUCAGCCCAAAGAAUUUUCAGAAAGUGAACACGUGAGGGUGGCAAGCACCUGGACUAGGAACCAGAACACCGCCAGCGCCCCAGAUGUGCCCUUUUAGUCCACUUCUAGUCACUGUGCUCCCAUGAGGGUGCUCACCCUACCCUCUAGUACUGACAUUGAUGUUGCUUAUUUGUGAACUUCACUUGAAUGAACUCAUGCAACAGCGUGUCUGUGAGGUUCAUGCACGUUUCUGAACGUGGGAUCGCUGAAGUGUGGGGUUGUAUUCGAAACUGUAGUUUGCACUCAAAGAACAGCAAGUGGAAGAAAAUUACUUUGGAAAGGAAUUUUCAAAUCGAGUGUGAAUGAGAGGGUCUUUGGGACUUUGGCCUUUGGAGUUGAGCUGACCUAAAGGUAGAAGGUGAACUAGGAUCCUCUUAGCUCCCCACUCCACUCUGAACUGUGCUCCCAGGGCAAUCCAGCUUCUGCUCUCUUUUACUACUACUUCAUGUAAUGAUAAAAAUUAUGUCAGGUUAAAUAUCAGUAAUUGCUUAAGUGAGUUUGUAUAUCAAGCUGUGUAGUAACGCCUCACUGAAACACUGCUCAGCUGAGACUGAGAUUCAGUGUGUUGACGAAAAGAGUUAAACUCUAACAUAUUUGAAGAGAUUUAUUCUGAGCCAAAUAUGAGAGACCAUGGCCUGUGACACAGCCCUCAGGAGUCCUGAGGACAUGUGCCCAAGGUGGUUGAGGUACAGCUUGGUUUUAUGUAUUUUAGGAAGGGAUGAGACAUCAAUCAAAUACAUUUAAGAAACACAUUGGUUUGGUUCAGAAAAGGCGGAACAACUCAAAGUGGGGAGGCUUCCAGGCUAUAGGUAAAUUUAAACAUUUUCUGGUUGAUAAUUGGUAGAGUUUAUUUGAAGGUCUGGAAUUAAUGGAAAGGAAUGUUCAGGUUAAGAUAAAGGACUGUGGAGACCAAGUUUUAUUGUUCAGAGGAAUCUCUCAGAUAGCAGACUUCAGAGAGAGAGCAGGUUGUAAAAUGUUUCUUAUAAGACCUAAAAGGGUGCCUGGCUCUUAGUUGGUUAUCUCCUGGGUCUGGAAAGAAAGGAAGGAAAACAAACGGGGAAGGAGAUUCUCUGUAGAUUGUGGAUUUUUCCCACAGAGACUUUGCAGGACAAUUUCAAGGCAUGGCAAGGAAAUGUAUUUUGGGGUAAAACAUUUCGAUUUUCUUCCUUGUUAUGCCAGAGUCAGAUUGGAAAGUAAGUCACUAUAUACAGGGUCAAAUAAAACCCAUCUGAUGAGAAUUUAUGGUUUGUAGGGUAUGACUCCCUAGACCCCUUAGAUAGGAAUUUGGGCAAGAUAAAAAAAAUCAGAUCUUAGUCCUCAAGUGUAAAGCAGAUCAAUUGAGAAUCCAAAUCUGCAGGGUAUAAGGUCAGACGCAGUCAACCGAUGCAUGAACCAAGAAGCAUUUAUAGAAGCCUCUGGCGCUUUUCCUUUGCUCACCUCUGUCCACAGGCUCUGAACUAAUUCCUUCAUUUUUUUUUAAAUUUGCAAAUAAGAUUACUGUAUUAUAGAUUUGAAGAUGCACCCAAUUAUUUUAUAAGCUUUUUUUUAUGUAACACUAAGAAAUUAAAAAAAUGCUGAAGGUGCAGUCUAGUAGGAGACCCUGCAGCUGAAAUGCUGAAGUCAUUCUUUGUGUGCAGGAAACAAGAAAAAAGCCUGCCAUGCAGAAAGUCACUGAGAAACCUGCUGGCCUCCAUGGUGGCACGUGGGGGAGGGAGGAGAAGAAAACUCCUGAAAGAAUGUGGACCACACAGCAUGCUCUGGUGGGUAUGUGGGCUGACAAAGAACAGGGAGCGCUAACAGUGAAAAUGAAGAGCCUGCCCCGCCUCCCAGCGUGGACCUUGACCUGGGGCCAGACCAAGGCCACUUUAUAGAAACGUCCCUGGAGCGUGUCUCAGGUGGCCCUGCCUGCAUCCUGGCCUACCUCUGGGGCCCUUCUUACCCACAGUCCUACUUUCCACCCACCUUGACCCCAAGAGGUGUUCAUUUAUAACGCCCCUGCAUCUUCUCAACUUCAAAGUCAGCUCGGACCUCGUUCACCCAGACAAGACCUUGGCUGAGUCUUGACAAACUGGCACAGGGUCCCCCGACAGAAGACAGCUUUCCUUUCUCUUUGCUUUCCUUUAUCUUAGCCGAGUCCGGCCUCCCCAGCACUCUUUUCCAUCUGGGGACAGUUCGUGCUGGUGGGAAUUGGCAGGGGCACACGGUCCAGACAGAGACAACUGAAACACAGGUGUCCCGCUGGUGUGCCAGCAGGGCGGCCGUCCUACCAGGAGCAGGACACUUUGUUGGCCACUGCCCAUGCAAUAAUCAGCGUGGGACAAACAGUCCCAUGGGGAGUGAGGUGAUGUGAAGAAAAGGAAGCCGAAGAAGAGAAGAAGCUGAAGGGCCAGUAAACACACACAUAGACGCUCACCCUCCCCUUCGUUGGAAAAAUGAACGGCUGCUGUUGCCGAGGGCUGGUGAGGAUGAGGCCCCAGGCCUGCAGGAGGGCACAUCCGGUUGGCCGCCUCGACGGGGCCAUCUGGGUAGCUGCUGCCCUUUGCAUGUAAAUAAAGCUCCUCAAAGCCCCAUUUCACAACUGCUGGGAGAAACAGCAUCCUUCCCUCCUUCCCUAUAUUUCCAGGGAGGAGGUGGCUGGUUUUUUUUGUUGUUGUGUUUUUUUUGUUUGUUUGUUUUGUUUUGUUUUGUUUUUUCCAGAUUUCUCCCAGCCACAUCCAGCUUCUUGUUCUGUAAUUUUUUUUUCCAAAUUACUGACUGCCUUCUUUCAAGGGGAAAUGGAACUCAGAAAGAUGGGAAGAUACAUGAUAAGAGCACUUAAGAGAGAAGCCUGUCCAUUUCCACUAAGGUUGAAGUGUGCAUACUCCAGGAUCCAGUCCUUCAUGUCUACACAAGGAGUCCCAGGAAAAGGUCUGUGCAAAACGUUUGUAAUUGCAACGGAGCAGCCACGACCUAGCCCUCCUUCAGCAGAGGAAUGAAUAAACUGGUUUAUUCAGUCAACGCAGCAGUUAAAAUGAGAGAAUUAGUGAUGUUGAAAGGAAAAAUGAAGAGCAAACAGAUACAGUAGGAAGUUAUCACGUACAUUUCAAAAACAUUCAAAACAACCGUACAUAUUUAUGGAUUCAUGUAAUAAUGCAGUAAAAAUACAAAAUCAGAGCCAGGACUGUGGCACACUGAAUUCAGCACAAUGGUCGUCUCUAAAUGUGGGUUCAUGUGGGAGGAGGUGACCCCGGGGUGGGGGCUUCUGCUGUAUUUGUCAUGUUUGGGUUAUUUGAAAGGGAGAGAGAGCACUGUAGUUAUACAGUAAAAUGCAAACAUAUUUUUUAUUUUAGUGGUGAGUAUACAGGUGUCUGUUGUGCUGUUUUCUGUGUGUUUGAAUGGUUUCAUAAUUUUUAGAAAAUUAAACCAUGAGGUCGGAUAUGGUGGCUCACCCCUGUAAUUCCAGCACUUUGGGGGGUCAGAGCAGAAGGAUUGCUUGAAGACCAGCCUGGGCAACAUAGCAAGAUUCUAUCUUUACAAUUUCUAAAACAUUUUUCAAUUUAAAAAUGAUAAACAAUGAAAAACUGCAAAGAAAUAGAUUGAAAAGUUCACAGUUGCUUUUGCCACAUUUUGUGAAUAUGUUAUUUUUAUAAUGAAAAAUUACAGAUAAUUUUGAUUGCUUUGAAAAGUAAUUAUGUGGAAAAGAAAAACAAAUAGCAAACCAUGGCAUAGUUCCUGAGGCCUGCAUCUUUCUAGCAGCCUCUUGGCAAAUCGGGAGCUCUUUGUGAGGUGUGAUUACCAAAACCCGCUGGAAGGGUAUCAGCACCACCUCACAAUGAACCCAGUGUUGCUAAUUCUGACGCCAAUAUUUCCACAGGACUCAGUUGAUGGAAUCUUCCUGAAUGUGUUAUUUAUGGUACCAAAUGAAAAAAGACCUCAUUUACCAGCCACACUCUAGGCUGCAAAGAGACAGAUUUUUAGGCAGGUUCUUCAUUUUAUUUUUGCCCCAUUUAAAACCAGCAUCUUUGUAGUAACCAAAGUUAAUUCAGGGCACAUUUUGCUGCAUUAGGUCCUGGGCCUGUGAUCACUAAGACCUUUUGAAAUGUAAAUAAAGCUCCCAAACCCCCAUUUCACAAAUACUGGGAAAGCCAGGCUCCCUCCCAAAUUUCCAGGGCGGAGAGGCGCGCGUUAAGAUUCCUCCCAGUCGCCUCUAGCUUCUUGUUUCGGAAUCCCUGCCCCAGAUUACUGAUCGUCUCACUGCAUUAUCUUCCUGAAUUUGUGUCUCCUUCAGGGGGGAUACCUCCCACCUCAAGGUGUGAGAAAUUGGGGCACCCAUGGGAGAGAUGGAGGUGGCUACAUUACUGCACCCCAAAACCUCCUGAAGAUAAACGUCACAUAUCCUUGCAAUCAAAUCCCCGGUUGUUAAACGCCCUCUGCUCUCCUUGCCGGCAGGAACUUCCCAGUAGCUCUUUCCCAAGUGGAACCUCCCCUGUCAUUUUGUUUGUUUGUUUGUUUGUUUGUGGUUUUUCAUCUGGGUUUUGUUGUUGUUGUUGUUGUUGUUGAGAAGGAGCCUCGCUCUGUCACCCAGGCUGGAGUGCAGUGGCGUGAUCCUGGCUCACUGCAACCUCCGCCUCCCGGGUUCAAGCGAUUCUCCGGCCUCAGCCUCCCGAGUAGCUGGGACUACAGGCGCCCGCCACCACGCCCGGCUAAUUUUUUGUAUUUUUAGUAGAGACGGGGUUUCACCGUGUUAGCCAGGAUGGUCUCGAUCUCCUGACCUCGUGAUCCGCCCGCCUCGGCCUCCCAAAGUGCUGGGAUUACAGGCGUGAGCCACUGCACCUGGCCUUGGUCUAGGGUCUCUUAGUCUUUCACUCUCAGGCACUUUGAGGAAAUGUAUUAAACAGGACAAUUUUGUUUUAAUAGUCUCACUCUUGGCUUUGCCGCACGAGCUAUGUUUUUGUUUCUAAAACAAAAAUAAGGUUUACCAAAACAAGAUGAUCCUUAAGGAUUUGGCUAAAAAAGAAUUCUCUAUGCCAAGUGAAACUAUGCCUGCGGAAGUUAAAUUCUCACCACCCUCCCACUCUGCACCAGCCCUGCCACCAGCCUCACUCCUUGAAAGUCUAGUUUGGGAAUCAGAACAUAUCCAGAACAAAAUGGAACCAUGUUGUGCUAGGUGUCAAAUGAAUGAUGCAAGCAAGAAAUGUUGUAGGCAUUGGUAUGGCAUGGAGGAGAAAACUAAGGCCUUGUACUACCUGCUCAGGAAGGUUAGGAAAUGACAGAAACGGAAACCGAGUUUCAAUAGCAGCAUCUCUGAACUGGCUUUUUGUAUUCUCGGGCUGAUUUUGCAGGCUGGUAGCAGUUCCCUGUCUAGAAGAUACAAUGGACCCAGAGCCAUCAGCUGCUUCCUGGGGGAAGUGGUGGUGGCUGGGGAGGGGGAUCGUGAUUCUGCUGCAGGAUAAUUGCCAAGGACAGAGGGAGGGCUGUGUUCUCCUGCCUGAAGAUGGAAGUAAAGGAACAUUUUAACUGGGCAAAACCCUUCAAUCCUAGCCCAGCUGAGCAGGGAGUUGGUUUUCGAAAGCAGAGCUAUACGGACAGCCCCUGUGCCGGAUAUGACCUCCUAUAUUAAGAAAAAGUGGAAAAAACAGAACUGAAAGGAGUAGAGAUCUUCCUACAGUGCCAAGGCAGGCUUUAAGUCAGCUUUAGAAAUAAAUCAGCUGUGAGCAAAUAACACCUCGCACAGUGCUCGGUCCUCAGCAACUACUCAGUUAAAGUCUGUUGAACGGAUCAGGGAUAACUGAACUCAGGAAUCUAAGGAAUAAGCAUGAUAUAAUUAAUUGCAGCUCUGGUCUUAAGAUUUCCUUGGGUUUCACCCCUGGCUGAGAUGAUACCACAAGGGAGCCUCUCUGUUGCCUCCCGCAGCCCUGCCCUGAGCUGAGACCCAUCUGUAGGGCGUCAGGGCAGGAGGCGGCUGCAGCUUUCCCCAAAGAUGAGUGAGCUCACGCCACAGCUUGGAGAAAGGAGGCACGAGCACAGUCAUGUUACCGAGGCCAGGGCAGGGCUGAAGCCCCCCUCUCUCCAUAGCCGUGUCUUACUAUGACAAGGAACAAGUUUUUUCUCCACUUUUCCCUCCACUCCUAGGUUCAGGUCAACAUGAGGGUGACCAUCGCCAGGGUCAGUGCAUUUGGUAGGAGACCAGGGACCGUUUCUGGGAAUGUCAGGAAUCUUGUCUUUCAAAUGCUCACUUCACUUCACAGCCCCUGCGAGUGCCCUGAACCUUUGCAAGGUAUGUUCUAAGAAAGGGAACAAGGCCGGGCGCGGUGGCUCACGCCUGUAAUCCCAGCACUUUGGGAGGCUGAGACGGGUGGAUCACGAGGUCAGGAGAUUGAGACCAUCCUGGCUAACAUGGUGAAACCCCGUCUCUACUAAAAAUACAAAAAAUUAGCCAGGCAUGGUGGCGGGUGCCUGUAGUCCCAGCUACUCGGGAGGCUGAGGCAGGAGAAUGGCGUGAACCCGGGAGGCAGAGCUUGCAGUGAGCCAAGAUCGCGCCACUGCACUCCAGCCUGGGUGACAGAGCGAGACUCCAUCUCAAAAAAAAAAAAAAAAAAAAAAAAAAGAAAGAAAGAAAGGAAACAAAUGAGGAUGAGAGGAAACAGCUAUGAAAUCCUCAGAAUCAGGUUCCACCAGAGAUCCAAGCCCCAGUGCAGGAGUGGCCCCCUGUUCACUGGCUUUCUCCAAAAACGGCACCAGUGGGGGCCAGACACUUCACGUCUGGGCUGAGCAUCUUUCCAAGCACGAACUGCCCAGCCUAUGGAAGUGCAGGGCGCAUGAGAGAAGAGAGGAUUUAUUCAACGACACAGAGUUCUUAUUUAUUUUUACUUUAGAGGACCAUCCAGAAUGCAUUUCCACCCUGCUUUCCUUCUGUGGCUGCUACUGUAGCUCUUAUUUAUACCAUCAUCCCUUAAAACAAGGUGAAGUAGAUGUGGGACUUGAAAGAAUGAAUUGUGCGGCCUUGAGCACACGGUUGUUCAGCAGAGGUGCCCUUCCCAGCCUGCCUGGUGCUGUCAGAACCAUGGCUGGAGGGAGUGCCUCCCACUGUCCUCAAGUCCUCCCUGGGAGGUGACCAUGUCUGUUUCAUUUGUGCUGAUCCCUGAAGGAGACACAGAGGGCAACGGAGUAACUAUUGGUGCAAACCAUCGGAAUAAGAUGCUUAUUUCAAUGUUGCAAUGGAAGUCAGAAUUUUCUGGUCAAUCUGCAAUAUAAUUUAAGCUAAUACAAGCCUGCUAUUAGAAUUAACUAGAUAGAGAGAGGGAUAGUGAGCGGGGAGAUGGCCCAUUUGAUCAGCAGAGCUUCUUGAAACUUGGAUAUGGUAAGAGGGUUGUGUGUCACCCUGAGUGACAGAGGUGGCCCCACUUGGUAUUGUGUAAAAUCACUAGCCAAUGUUGUAUGGAUGAUGUCACCACUGACAUGUACGCAUUCCUGUCGUCUCUUGCCUGCAAACUGAUGGUGAGAUACUUGUGGUAAAAAUUAUUUCUCAUGCAUCCUUCAUGCUUAGCAAAGUGCUGCAUUGACUUUUGCUUAUUUUGUGGAUGUUUGCCAGUGAAUCUUUGACCCAGAAUUGGAAGCAGAACCCAGACAGGUUGGCUCGUCUUACGCAAACCACUGGUGCAGGUUUGCACUGAGUGGAACGUAUCCACUAAUUAGCCUAGAGAUAAAAAUUCUUAGGAGAUAAACUUCAUUAUGGAAAAUUUCAUUAAAUUUUUAUAAAUAUUGAGAAGGGAAAUAGUGUAGUAUAAUCCUCCUGUAUUCAUCAUCCAGUUUAACAAUUGUCACCUCAUACCCAAUCUUUUUUCACCUGUACUGUCCCCCACCUGGAUUGUUUUGUAGCAAAUCCCAGACAUCGCAUCAUUUUGUCCAUAAAUAUUUCAGUAUGCCUCUCUAAAAUAGUAAAACUCUUUACAAAAUAACCUUAAUAUCAAUAUUGUACCUAAAAUAAUGAACAAUAAUUACACAAUCUUAUCAGAUAGUUAUUGAAUUUUCCAGUUUUGCUGAUUAUCUUAUAAAGUUUUAUAAUGGUUUUUUUCAAUUGACAAAAUCAGGACUUCACCAGAGCAGGUAAAAUCACUGAGAUGGUUCUUGGGUCUCUGAAGUCUCUUCUAAUCUCUACUGUUUCUCUUCCUCACCACCUGUUUGGAAUGUUGUGAGGUACAUGGAUGUGCUUUGGUCAAAGAAUAGGCCGAGGCGGACACCCAGGCCUGCAUGACUCAGUGAGUUUCGCGUGCCAGCGCACACCUCCACUUGUUAUAUAACCUGUUUGUGUAAGUUCAUACUUGGCUCUGAGCCACUAUUGUCUGUAAAAGGUAUAACUGUCCUGGUGAUGCUGUACAGAGGCUCUUGGCUCUUGGGGCUCAGCUUUGCCUCAACGUGGCUUCACGUGGCGGGCACCCUGGUGCCCAGAGAGAGAACCAGAGCUGUCCGUCCUGCAGAUGGACACAGGGGAGCCACAGCACGGCUCGCGCUGGUGCCCAGAGAGAGAAAGAGUGAAGCUGCUGACCCUGAAGGCAAGGCAGAGUCUGCCAUGCAGCUGCAGAUGUCGGGGUGACAGGAGCCGCAGAGCCGGAGCAAACGGCUGAGAUAAGAGCGGACAGCGUGAGAGAAGCUGCCCAUGAAAGCGCUGGUGUGAAAAAGCUGUUAAUGAAAGCGGCUGCUGAAUAAAACCAUAUUCACCUGCCUAGAGCUCCCCAAGCGUUCUUUCCGCUCAUCCACCCACUCCCCUCGGACCGCAGCAUGGGCUGGACCUGGACCCCAGGAUCUGAAAAAUGUAUUUGUUGAAGAAAUACAAUUUUUGUCCUGUAGAACCUGCAAUUUGCUAAUUGCAUUUAUGUGGUAUCUUUGAACAUGUCUCUGUCCUCUGUAUUUCUGGUAGUUAGAUCUCGGGUCCAAUGUCUUUGUCAAGAAUACUUCCCAGAUGGUGUGUGUACCUCAGCUGCAGGACCCUUAUGCUUGGUUGUUGCCCAUCAUUACCAUAGGUUAUUUCAUCAGAGGUGGCAAAAUGGUGAUUUUCUAAUUUUUAAUUCAUUUUUUCCUUUAUUUUGUUUGCUGGAAUACUUCUAUAAAGAGAAACUUUCCCUCAUCAACUAUUUGAUGAUGUAAGGUGCAGUUUAUAUAAAGCCAGAUACAUGCUGGAUUCUUUUCCCUUACUGACCAGUUUUUAAAACGAGUUGGUUUCCUAGUCUCCUGCAACCAGUGAUUUUGAUACAGAAUGGUUGGGCUCCUGGCUAAACCCCACCCUUGGGCCUGGAGCCGCAGCCCUAAGUGAAAACAGCUGACCCCGUUUUCCACCCAAAUGUUGCCUUUUUGGCCUGCCAUGCCCCUAUCCUGUGCCCAUAAAAAGACUUCAGCUGGCAGAGCAACACAAGCGGCUGAUGCAAGGGGUCGGGGAUGCAAGCUGCUGAACGUAGGGGAUGCAAGCGGCUGAGCAUCAGAGACUACAGAUAGACGCAGCUAACCUCAGACGGUGCAGCUUCAGGGAAAGAUCACCUUCUUCCCGCACCAUCCCCUUUCCAAUUCCCCAUUCUGCUGAGAGCCACAUCCAUCGACCAAUAAAAUCCUCUGCAUACACUACCCUUCAAUCUGUUCCUGUGACCUAAUUCUUCCUGGACACCAAACAAGAACCUGGGUGCCGAGAGGGCAAGGGCUUGGAUGCUGCUGUGGGGCCUGCGCAGAGUCUGCUCUCAUCAGAGAGGAGCGACCAGCUGUUUCCAGCAUUUGUUCCCUCCAGUUCCAGCACUCACCUGCUCACACGCUCCCUCUCGCGAGGAGUGGCCAGCAGCGGGCUGAGUGAAAUGCGCCACUCCAGUUCCCGCCUACAAAGCAUGUCAAGGUCAAGGGAACAAUCCCGUCUCAAUUUGUUGCAGUAGAUAUUGCUCUUGGUUUUGAGUAUCGGUAUGAAGGAAUGGACUUAAACAGAGGAAUGUGUUUUCUUCCGUUGCUAUUUGUGUUCUUAUUGAUGCUCAAGUGGUCACAUUUUCAGCAAGAGGCAGCCUUAGCAAUGUAACAUGAAUGAUGGCUUUGAUUUACGUAGUGAUGAAAGUGAUGUGUGGUUGUGUAGACAUCAUCUAUGAUGAUCUCAUCCAGAAGGGCCCUCAGUGACAGCCUCUCAUGUGUAAGGGACUGGCCAGAUCCCAUGCCACAAGGAAUUUCUUUAUGGCCUCAUCACCUAUUUGUCUGCUUCAUUCACACAAGUGUGGUUCAGAUGAAUGAAUAAAUGGAUGGGUAAACUUCUGUAGGCCACCAGGCAAAAGUUACAUUAUGUCAACUGCUCCUGAAUACAUGUGGUAUAACAACCAUUGGUAGUCUUCAUAAGACACUAAGCUGAGGCAGUGAGGUAGAAGUGGCAGGCAGGAAGAGGGUAAAAAUAUGUAUUGAGGCCAGGCAAGGUGGCUCACGCCUGUAAUCCCAGCACUUUGGGAGGCCAAGGCAGGCAGAUCACUUGAGGUCAGGAGUUCAAGACCAGCCUGGCCAAGAUGGUGAAACCCUGUCUCUAUUAAAAAUACAAAAAUUAGCCGGGUGUGGUGGUGGGCGCCUGUAAUCCCAGCUACUCAGGAGGCUGAAGCAGGAGAACCGCUUGAACCCCGGAGGUGGAGGUUGCAGUAAGCCAAGAUAGCACCACUGCACUCCAGCCUGGGUGACAGAGUGAGACUCUGCCAAAAAAAAAAAAGAAAAAUAUAUAUAAUAUGUAUUGAGUGCCUGUUUUGUGUAAGCAGGGUUCUAGUCAUUUAAGAUGUACCUGAAUAAAACAAAGAGCCUUACUCUCCUAGAACUUGUGUUUCUACCUGGGGAGACUGUCAGUAAACCAUCCACAAAAUAAAUACAGCAGAUGCUGUUAGAAGAUGAUGGUGCUAUGGUGUGCUGUGGAAAAUAGAGAAAGUAGAGGGAAGUGAGAGGGAUUGCGUACACUAGGAUUGUGACUUUACACAGAAGGGUCAGUGGUGCCAUUUUAGCAAAGAUCUGAGAGAGGUAAAGGAAUAAGCUUUGCAGAAGUGUGGGAGACAAAUGUUCCAGGUACAGGAAAUGACCAACGCCAAGACCCUAGGGUGGCAAUGUGUCUGCUUUGAGUUCUAGAGAAGGGGUAUAUUAUACAUCGCUUUUUGUGACUCACUUUUUGGCAAACAUUAUGCUUCUAAAAUGAACCUGUAUUUUGGAAUAUAUCUGUGGUUCAUUAAUUCUCAUCUUUGUACAGUAUUCUAUUAUAUAAAUACACCAUGAUUUAUUUAGUCAAUUAACAUUUGGGUGAUAUCUGGUUUUUUUGCUAUUAUAAAUGCUGCUAUGGGCCAGGCACAGUGGUUCAUACCUGUAAUCCCAACACUUUGGGAGGGUGAGGUCGGAGGAUCACUUAAGCCCAGGAGUUUGAGAUCAGCCUAGGCAACAUAGUGAGACCUCAUCUCUCAAAAAUAUUUUUUUUAAAAUUAACUGGGCAUGGUGAUGUGUACCUGUAGUCCCACCUACUUUGGAGGCUGAGGCAGGAGGAUCACUUGAGCUUGGAGCUUGAGGCUGCAGUGAGCUAUGAUCAUGCCACUGACUCCAGCCUGGGCGAUAGAGUAUGACUUUGUCUCAAAACAACAACAACAAUAAUAAUAACAGCAAUUAAAAUGUACUCUGUGAACGUCAACUAAUAACUACAGUCAUUUUCACUGGCCAAAGAGAAAGGGACAGGUGUAGGCUGAGUUCAUGCCCAGUAAAACUAAGUGGCACUGCAGUUUCAAGAAAACUGCACAGAAGCAUGAAUGAAGGGACAGUGGAAAGGAUGCUGGAUGAUCAUGAGACACAAUGAUACAGCAGCUGCUAUAGCAACUUAUUUAUGUUGGGAGUGGCUAUUGGUAUCAGUAAAACAAUGCCACUUGUCCAUAACUUUAACAACUUAACUUUCAUUGCUUUUGUAACUUUGUCCUUAAUUUUUAAAUCAGUUUUUGUUUUACAGCUAUAAAAUAACUACCCACAAAAGAACAUUAUUAUAAAAAUAAAAAAG